AAGAGCACAGUACGAUGAAAGUUGUAAGCUGUGUUCGGGGGCGGGGAGUUAUUGUCUAUCGUUGGCCUCUAUGGUAGAACACGUCGGGGAGGCCUGAGAGGCGGUGGUUUACCCUGU
rnacentral:ncRNA from 1 species